GGCAGCAUGGCGUAGUGGUCUGAGUGUUGGGCUAUGACUCUGGAGACCUGGGUUCCAUUCCCCACUCAGCCA